ACCACGAAGCUCAGUCAGUAGAGCAUCCGCCCACUGAGCGGAAUGUCGCCGGUUCGUUUCCGGCUCGCGGAG
rnacentral:tRNA from 1 species